ACGACAGAGGGUUUUGGGGGGAGCUGAGAGUUUUAACGGCGGAGAAAAGCCAGAAAGCUAGUUGACGGCUGAGGGUAGCGUGAAGGCUAGAGAGAAAAGGAGGUUAGGGGCAGCCGAGAGCAAGAGGAGGAGAGAACCACCUUGCGAGAUAGAAACUGAGAGUGACGAACCAGCGGAGAAGAGAAAAAACUGGAAAGAGAGCAAAA
rnacentral:lncRNA from 1 species